CUCGGGGUCCUGGGGUCUCCCUAGCCCACCUCGCCACUUUUCCCAGCGCGCGGUGGGGGUCGCAGCCAAGGGCAUUCCCUGCAGCCGCGGCCGGAACCGACGGCGCUUGCUUUCCCCUUCCACCCGGAGGGGGUGACCGAGCCUCACCUAUUUCCAAGCCUGUGUUUCCACAAAAGACGGGAAGCAAUAAAAGUGGCCCCAGGAGAUUCCGGAAAUCUCUACAAAGAGAAAGUGGCCGUUCGCCUUUCCUUCAGCCGACAAGGCUUCACUGUCAAGCAUGGGGUUCUGGUGAACCUCCAAAUGACACGACCGGCACAGCAACAGUGGUGAAGCCGUCUAUUGUCCUUACCCCAAAGUUCCUGUCCCAUGACCAAAGCCAGCUCACCAAGGAGCUGCAGCAGCACGUAAAGUCAGUGCCAUCCCCCAUGCGAGUACCUGAGGAAGUUACACUACUCCAAGGGUGGGGUUCAGAGCACGUUUGCCCUGGGCGUGGAGGAGCGUCGUUUUCACAUCAGCACCCGGCUGGUAGCUGCUACGGCCAGUUUCCCCAACUUCAUGAAGCUGGAACAGACUUUCCUACAGGUGCAGCUCACCUGGAACAGAGGACAGCCUGUGACCCUGCAGCUCGCCUGGGCCGACAGGUUCUCAGCACACAGCACCUCCUGGGACGGCUGCCUGGCCACCGCCCCGGGGCAGCUCCAGGAAACCUGGGGCCUGGACACCCUCUGGGCGUGCAGGGCCGUAACACAGACCCCGGACAUGUUCAUUGAACAGCUUGACCUGUCCUGGGGCCAGCAGCGCAUGAGGCAGAACUUGACAUACAAGAGGCAUCAGCCAUCUCAGCCAGACAAGAUCAUCGUGGAGGCCACGCCGGAGCACGUCCUCGGGGCCUCUUGUGCCCGGCAGAGCUUCCGGGGAGAAGUACAGACUGACUAUGCACACUUGCUGCGGCACUCCCUCCACCUGGGGCUCUGUGACCUGUCCAGGGUCUGA
rnacentral:lncRNA from 1 species